CUACACGGGUAUCUAAUCCUGUUCGCUCCCCACGCUUUCGCGUCUCAGCGUCAGUACCGUUCCAGAGAGCCGCCUUCGCCACCGGUGUUCUUCCUAAUAUCUGCGCAUUUCACCGCUACACUAGGAAUUCCGCUCUCCCCUCCCGGACUCAAGCCAGGCAGUAUCCAGUGCAGGCUUGGGGUUGAGCCCCAAGGUUUCACACCAGACUUACCAAGCCGCCUACACGCGCUUUACGCCCAAUGAUUCCGGACAACGCUCGCCCCCUACGUAUUACCGCGGCUGCUGGCAC
rnacentral:rRNA from 1 species